CACGUAGGGCGCAAGCGUUGUCCGGAAUUAUUGGGCGUAAAGAGCUCGUAGGUGGUUUGUUACGUCUGCUGUGAAAACCUAGGGCUUAACCCUGGGCUUGCAGUGGAUACGGGCAGACUAGAGGUAGGUAGGGGAGAAUGGAAUUUCCGGUGUAGCGGUGAAAUGCGUAGAUAUCGGAAGGAACACCUGUGGCGAAAGCGGCUCACUGGACCAUUACUGACGCUGAGGCACGAAAGCUAGGGGAGCAAACAGG
rnacentral:rRNA from 1 species